rnacentral:rRNA from 1 species
GAUGAACGCUGGCGGCGUGCCUAAUACAUGCAAGUCGAGCGAACAGACGAGGAGCUUGCUCCUCUGACGUUAGCGGCGGACGGGUGAGUAACACGUGGAUAACCUACCUAUAAGACUGGGAUAACUUCGGGAAACCGGAGCUAAUACCGGAUAAUAUAUUGAACCGCAUGGUUCAAUAGUGAAAGACGGUUUUGCUGUCACUUAUAGAUGGAUCCGCGCCGCAUUAGCUAGUUGGUAAGGUAACGGCUUACCAAGGCAACGAUGCGUAGCCGACCUGAGAGGGUGAUCGGCCACACUGGAACUGAGACACGGUCCAGACUCCUACGGGAGGCAGCAGUAGGGCAUCUUCCGCAAUGGGCGAAAGCUUGACGGAGCAACGCCGCGUGAGUGAUGAAGGUCUUCGGAUCGUAAAACUCUGUUAUUAGGGAAGAACAAAUGUGUAAGUAACUAUGCACGUCUUGACGGUACCUAAUCAGAAAGCCACGGCUAACUACGUG